UGCCUCUUCUCCCUAGAUCUAGUCCCGCGCCAGGGUCUCCCCCUCGAGGAGGGCGACGACUCCCGCCUGCCUCUUCUCCCUGGAUCUAGUCCCGCGCCAGCCCCUCUCCUGGCGGCCUCCCCCUCCGGCCUGCCUCUUCUCCCUAGAUCUAGUCCCGCGCCAGGGUCUCCCCCUCGAGGAGGGCGACGACUCCCAAGCCUCCCCCUCCGGCCUGCC
rnacentral:lncRNA from 1 species